UACGAAGGGGGCUAGCGUUGCUCGGAAUUACUGGGCGUAAAGCGCACGUAGGCGGCUUCUUAAGUCGGAGGUGAAAUCCUGGAGCUCAACUCCAGAACUGCCUUCGAUACUGGGAAGCUCGAGUCCGAGAGAGGUGAGUGGAACUGCGAGUGUAGAGGUGAAAUUCGUAGAUAUUCGCAAGAACACCAGUGGCGAAGGCGGCUCACUGGCUCGGUACUGACGCUGAGGUGCGAAAGCGUGGGGAGCAAACAGG
rnacentral:rRNA from 1 species